AUUGAACGCUGGCGGGAGGCCUAACACAUGCAAGCCGAGCGGUAUUGUUUCUUCGGAAAUGAGAGAGCGGCGUACGGGUGCGGAACACGUGUGCAACCUGCCUUUAUCUGGGGGAUAGCCUUUCGAAAGGAAGAUUAAUACUCCAUAACAUAUUGAACGGCAUCGUUUGAUAUUGAAAGCUCCGGCGGAUAGAGAUGGGCACGCGCAAGAUUAGCUAGUUGGUGAGGUAACGGCACACCAAGGCGAUGAUCUUUAGGGGGCCUGAGAGGGUGAUCCCCCACACUGGUAAUGGGACACGGACCAGACUCCUACGGGAGGCAGCGGUGAGGAAUAUUGGUCAAUGGGUGCAAGCCUGAACCAGCCAUCCCGCGUGAAGGACGACUGCCCUAUGGGUUGUAAACUUCUUUUGUAUAGGGAUAAACCUACCCUCGUGAGGGUAGCUGAAGGUACUAUACGAAUAAGCACCGGCUAACUCCGUGCCAGCCGCCGCAGUAAAAC
rnacentral:rRNA from 1 species